GAAUGAGGUCGAAACUCCGCCAAGGCAACGACAUACUGACGCCUGGUUAACAGCUGCUCUGAGACCUUUCAAGUGAGAUCUUAGCGCUCAGGUUCACUCUUGAAGAAUGACAUCAAUACUAUUUUGAAUGUGAUCAUUCAAAGCUUCUUGUCCAAAUAUCAGAUUUCGACUUGGUACCAUAUGUUAAAUUCGAUUAUGAGAAACCUAAUACCGCGUGAGGAUGGGAGUUUCUAGAACUUCUUCGCAUGGAGAAUUUGGAAAGCUAAAUAUCUUUUAAACAUGUGGCCGCUACGCCAAAAUACGAUCUCUAAUGAUGAAUGGCUGGGAGUCUGGGUCCAGAUCAUCUAUACUCAGGUUAUAUAUAUUAUUUUUGGUCAUACCCAUGCCACGCACUUCCGAUCGGUUCGGAUGUGGUUCACACGAAGAUGUUCGUGCGCGAUGGACACGAUUAACAGGG
rnacentral:sRNA from 1 species